CUCUUGAAAACAAAUAGGGGCUUGUGGCACCAUUCGUCCUAACAUAAUCAGUUUCCCCAAGACCAAGGUAAACAACAUGACAAAGACAGCAGAGAGGGGACCAUACGUUGGAUCAGGACUGACAAGCUGCUUUUUGUGAAAUGGAAGGACACUAGGGAAUUAACCAUGCUCACCACACAACAUGAGGUAUUCAAUAACUACCAAUGUCUCAAGGAGGGUGAAAAGUGCCAAUGGGGCAUGGGGGAGGAAGAAUGUCCCUAUUCCUGUUUCUGUGAAGGACUACAAUGCCAGCAUGGAGGGUGUUGACCUAUCUGAUGCUCUGAUAGGCUACUACCAGGUCCUCCACAAGACCAGGAAGUGGUAUAAGACUUUUUUCUUACCACUUUGUGGACAUUGCUACAGUAAAUUUUUUCAUUCUCCACAAGCAGAUGGCCAAAGCAAAAGGUCAAACCCCUCUCUCCCAGUUGGCCUUCAGAGAGCAGCUGGUGUUGGAAAUUGCUGAAUUAUGGGCCCAGAGCAACCUCACAACCAUCACAAGACCCCCCACUCAAGAUCCCAUCAUCCGCAAACAAUGAUCUCCAAAUUUCAGGUCUCACCUGGGAGAAUACAUCAUCAAUCAUAAUGGAGAACAAAAAAGGACUAAUGACACUUCCCUGGGGGGUACCAUUAUCUACCUCAUAGCUUUCUGACAUAGAGAUCCCCACCCUGACUUGUAUUGAUUGCCCAAAAAGAAAAUCCUUUAUCCAGUUAAAAACCCUUCCUACAACCCCCAUGUUAUCCAGCUUGAUAAGUAGGCCUUCCUUCCACAUCAUAUCAUAAGCCUUCUCUACAUCAAAGAAAACGCCUCCCACCACCUCUUUAUUUGCCUGUGUCUUCCGUAUGACUGACUCAAGGCACAGUACAGGAUCUAUCAUUCCCCUGCCUUUCCUGAACCCACUUUGAUCUGGUGACAUUAGUCCUCUACUCUCUAGAACGAAUCACCUGCCUUCAUCUGACUUGAGAUCAACCUGAGAUGGCUCCUGUUCACUCAACUCCUCAUCAUCACUACUCUCCUCUGACAAGUCCUGCGAAGGCUCCACAGUCUUGGAUUAAUUUCCAAAUAGGCUUUCUUUCUCCAACGACUCAUGGCGGAGGAUAAGCACAGAUAGAACAAUGAGACCGAUAUUUGGUUGGCGUUUCCACUUACUACCAAAUAUGGUGGUGAGAGGAAGCACAGUGGUCGGCAGUGGGGCAAGAUAGAUUUUGGCCGACAUUCGGCUAAUUUUGUAAUCGAUUAAUCAUUUGAUCUCAGUACAGUUUUCUGUUUCCAAAACUAGAAUAUGUUACCAACAGAGUGGACUACGUUUUUUAGACUUUACCCUUUGCCAAUUUUUUAAAAGAUUGCGUUGUUUGAAAGGACUGCAAGGGCAAAUUGAGUUAUUGCACAUGCGUACUUCAUAGAGUAGGCGUUUCCCAACGGAAAUAUGCAAAUAUAUGCUAGAACGCACCAAUAGGCUCUCGCUAUCUCGUGCUUGGCUCUGCCCACCUUGCUUAUUCUGCCCACUCUGAAUUAAUUUUCUCCCAUUGGAAAUGACAGGCUGUGGUCUAUCUUGGGUUAGUUAUAAAAAAUCUUUGGUUUAAGUGCCUUCAAAAAUAUGCCAUUCAUAUUUAUCUCUAUAGGCACUAAAGCGGCCAGAUCGUACACUUCCGGAAACACCAGGAUGUUCUUCUGUCCAGGAAAAGCGUGAAAAUAUCUACAACCUGUGCGAACAACGCAACGUGUAGCUAUUUAGGAUUUUAAAGGCGUUCCAGUUAAUCAGCGAGAUGCUUUGGAGUGUAUGGUAGCUGUUUACAUUGCCCUUAUCCUCGCUCUUUUGGUCACGUUUGUGUAUGUUGCACUAACUCGCUGUAUUAUUGAAGCUUGUUGGCUGCGUCACCAUCGCUGCCUGGAUUGGUCACGGGGCCCUGGAGAAGGAGUGGCCUGAGGUCAAACCCUAAAGCACCAGAGCCUGGUCAUGAUGGACCAUAAGAGAGCACUCACCAUUUCACUGGCCGUUGACAAGGUGGAUAACUCUCAAAUGGGAAGUCCACUAAAAAUUCCCAAGAUCCUUCUUUCUUCAGAGUUGAGAUGUGGGAAUGAAGAGUCACAGAUUCACUGGACCCAGAUUGCUGGAAACGGAAUCAAACUCCAAAAGUCUUGUCAGCAGAAUGGAUCCAUCUCUUUGGAUCACGGCCAAGCGGCUUUAGCCCAAGCGGCAAUGAACUGGUGAGGAGCAGUAUUUAUGGAGCCACAGGUGGAGUUAUGUUAGGAAGCAAACCUAAUUAGCCUGGUUAGGUUAGACUUGUUGACGGUUCAUAGAUGAUCUUGCUCCAUAACACGUCAGUUAUUAAAGCUGCAAUAUGUCACUUUUUGGGCGACCUGACCAAAUUCACAUGUAAAUAUGUUAUAGAUCUGUCAUUCUCAUUGAAAUGAACUCUAAGAAGCAGUAGAUUUGUUCUUUGUACGUCAUUUCUAUGCUUCCUGUUCUGAAGUUUAGUUUUUGCGUCUUACUUUCGGUUUUGUACACCAGCUUCAAACAGCUGAAAAUACAAUAUUUUUGGUUAUGGAAAAUAUAUUUCACAUCGGUUUAGAAUGUACAAUGAUUUUCUACACCAUACUUGCUUGUUUUGUCACAAACUGAAAUUAGAAUUUUAGCAACCAGAAAAUGGGAGGGCGAAUUCUGCAUAGUAUAUCUUUGAGACAGCCUUUGUCUUUAUCUGUGAAUUUAUUCGGUCCAUUUGUACGGUAAGGAGGAAUUAAUCCACUGUGUCAUUGAGUGCAGUUUUCCGAACAUUCACCAGAUGGAGCUCUUACCCUAAGCACUUUUCUCAGGUACAAGUGCAUUCAGAAAGUGUUCAUACCCCUUGACUUUUUCCACAUUUUGUUAUGUUACAGCCUUAUUAUAAAAUUUAGUAAAUAGUCCCCCUCCCCUCACCAAUGUAUACACAAUACCCCAUAAUGACAAAGCAACAGGUUUUUAGAAACUUUUACAAAUUUAUUAAAAGUAAAAAAUGGAAAUAUCACAUUUGCAUAAGUAUUCAGACCCUUUACUUAGUACUUUGUUGAAGCACCUUUUACAGCGAUUACAGCCUCGAGUCAUCUUGGGUAUGACGCUACAAGCUUGGUACACCUGUAUUUGAGGAGUUUCUCCCAUUCUUCUCUGCUGAUCCUCUCAAGCUCUGUCAGGUUGGAUGGGGAGCGUCGCUGCACAGCUAUUUUCAGGUCACUCCAGAGAUGUUUGAUCAGGUUCAAGUCCGGGUUCUGCCUGGGCCACUCAAGGACAUUUAGAAACUUGUCCCAAAACCACUAAUGUGUUGUCUUGGCUGUGUGCUUAGGGUCGUUGUCCUGUUGGAAGGUGAACCUUUGCCCCCAGUCUUGGGUCCUGAGUGCUCUGGAGCAGGUUUUCAUCAAGGAUCUCUUUGUACUUUGCUCUGUUUGUCUUUCCCUCAAUCCUCACUAGUCUCCCUGUCCCUGACGCUGAAAAACAUCCCCACAGCAUGAUGCUGCCACCACCAUGAUUCACCAUAGGGAUGGUGCCAGGUUUCCUUUCUCCUAGACUGGGAGGAUACUCGGUCUAGGAGAAAGAGUUAAAUAUCAGUGCUUGUGUGAAAUGUGUUUUGUCUGAAUCCAGCUGUAUCAAACCUUUGGGAAGAAUUAAACUUGGUUAAGCUUC
ensembl:lncRNA